GCGGCCCUGAGAGAGGCCAUUCGCCGCGCCGCCGGAAGCUCGCUCGCCACGACCGGAAGUUUUUCACCACCCAAUUAAGGGUUGGUGGGGGCACGCCCAGAAGCUUGGCUCUGAUUGGUUCUCUCUCUUGUUCGUCCACUUCCGGGCUUCGAGAAGUGGCAGGUCAGAGUGGGCCUGGGAUGCUAAGUUCUGGCACCCAUGCACCGGGUCAGCAGAGUUCUGAAGCGCCCACCCAGGUGACAUGUGACUGAGUGAGGUCCCUAAAAGACCACCAGGGGCGCCCCCAACUAAUGGGAAGCCAACAGCCAACGUUAGCCGGGGUCCCACUGGGUGCUUUGGGUUUGGCCGGUUCUGUCCAUCACACACAUAAAACCAGAAAUUGAAUCUUUGAGCUGUUUUAUUCAGAGAGCCAACAAUCUAAGACAGUAGUUUAACAUCCUAAAGGUGUGUCUUUCACCUCAUCUUUAGCCAGCAGACUAUGUAGGCUAUAGCACCUCAGCCCUGGCCAGAGCAUCUGUGCUCUUGCUGCUGCCACCAACACGGACCUCACUGGCUUUGCUCUGGCCUGGAAAUAAUAUACUCCCGCUCCCACAUCUGUCAGGCACUGAAGUGUGAACCAGAGGAUAUACAGGUGCUGACUGCAUGCACUUGGCUGGCACACAGAUAACCUUGCUAGAUACUAGGAAUGAAUCCACGAGUGUGAGACAGAAGUACACAGCCCAACCAGCCCUGUAUCCCCUGCCCAGCUCAGUGUUUCACCUGAUUUGGCAAUCAACACAAAGAUAUUCAGAGUGGUCUUGGUCUUGCCAGGCUGUGCAGUAUGUCAGGAGCCACAGCCUGUACACAUGAAUGGCUGGUGUGCACAAGCCAACCAUGGCCUUAGGUUUGUGGCCCAUAGUGGGUCCACUACUGUCCAGUUUGGGCAUCCCACCUAAUGCACAGGAAUCAGGUCAAGCCCCUCCCAGCACCAAGGGCAGCCAGGGAAGCAGGCUGAUACUUGAGGCAGCCCAAUGCCACACUGAGCUGUAGUAGAGUCGAGCAGGGGCUACCCUGGACCCCCAGCUGACUCUCUGACAUACACUGCCCACUUGGGGCACACAAAUACAAAUAAAAAGACUUCUUUGUCCUCGCUGGAUUUAAGGCUUGUAUUUCCUGA